AGAUUGAACGCUGGCGGCGUGCCUAACACAUGCAAGUCGAGCGGUAACGCGGGAGCAAUCCUGGCGACGAGCGGCGAACGGGUGAGUAAUACUUCGGAAUCUACCCACGGGUGGGGAAUAACCAGCCGAAAGGUUGGCUAAUACCGCAUACGCCUACGGGGAAGGACGGGGAGUCGAAAGAACCUCGCGCCGGUCGGAGUGAGCCGAAGCCGGAGUUAGCUAGUUGGUAGGGUAAGUGGCCGUACCAAGGCGACGAUCCGUAGCUGGUCUGAGAGGACGACCAGCCACACUGGGACUGAGACACGGCCCACGACUCCUACGGGAGGCGGC
rnacentral:rRNA from 1 species